rnacentral:rRNA from 1 species
GGGGAAUAUUGCACAAUGGGCGCAAGCCUGAUGCAGCCAUGCCGCGUGUAUGAAGAAGGCCUUCGGGUUGUAAAGUACUUUCAGCGGGGAGGAAGGGAGUAAAGUUAAUACCUUUGCUCAUUGCCUGAAGCUAGCGCGUCUACCAAUUCCGCCACCUUCGCACAGUCAUCUUACUUUUUUUGAUAUUGCCUCGUUUGGUGCGAGGGGGGGGACUUGAACCCCCCACGUCCGUAAGAACACUAACACCUGAAGCUAGCGCGUCUACCAAUUCCGCCACCUUCGCCCAGUGCGAGCAAUAUCAACGUGGUUUUUGGUGCGAGGGGGGGGACUUGAACCCCCACGUCCGUAAGGACACUAACACCUGAAGCUAGCGCGUCUACCAAUUCCGCCACCUUCGCAUACCAUCAAUUCUUAAAAAGAAUUGCUACCACGGAGGCGCAUUCUAGUGGUUUUCAGCUUUUCGUCAAUAGUUAAUUAUCGACAGAGGUGUAAUUGCUGGAAAAAUGUCCAUCAGCGGAUUGUGGAUAAUUCGUUUGUCGGUCAGAUAAGGCGUGUACGCCGCAUCCAACACGGUAUGCGGCGACAGAUAUCAGAUACUUAACCUUUCUUCGCCUGGCGGGUCAUAAUGGCGCGAUACACCUUGAAGCGCCCGGUUUGCGCAAUCACUUCGUGGAAACCAAAUGUCUCAUCCAGCACGUCCGGGUAAGGCAGGAAGGCGUUCGCUACAAUUCGCAGCUCGCCGCCGCUAUUAAGAUGACGCACCGCGCCGCGAAUCAGCGUUUGCGCCGCAUCCAGGCUGGUUUGCAUCCCAUCGUGGAACGGCGGGUUGGAGAUGAUCAUAUCAAAACGACCUUUCACCUCGGAAAAGACGUUGCUGGCAAAGACUUCACCUUCAACACUGUUGGCAGCAAGUGUUGCGCGACUGGCUUCUACCGCUGGUGCAGAAACAUCACACAGAGUGAGGCGGAUCUUCGGUGAAUGGCGCGCAAAAGCAACGGAAAGAACGCCUGCGCCGCAGCCGACAUCCAGCACUUUACCUUUCGUGUGCGGGGUUAGCGUCGAGAGCAACAACUGACUGCCGACAUCCAGACCGUCGCGGCUAAACACGCCCGGCAGCGUUUUGACCGUCAAGCCAUCGACGCUGUAUUCGCCCCAGAAUUUAUUGGCAUCAAAUACCGGCUGCUU